rnacentral:rRNA from 1 species
GUGGGGAAUUUUGGACAAUGGGCGCAAGCCUGAUCCAGCGACGCCGCGUGGAGGACGAAGGCCUUCGGGUUGUAAACUCCUUUUGGAGGGGAAGAAUAAAUUGACGGUACCCUCAGAAAAAGCCACGGCUAACUACGUGCCAGCAGCCGCGGUAAUACGUAGGUGGCGAGCGUUACUCGGAAUUACUAGGCGUAAAGCGUAUGUAGGUGGUUAGAUAAGUCUAUGGUGAAAUUUCCUGGCUUAACUGGGAAGGGACAUAGAUACUAUCUGGCUUGAGUGUGGGAGGGGGAGACGGAAUUCCUGGUGUAGCGGUGAAAUGCGUAGAUAUCAGGAGGAACACCGAUGGCGAAAGCAGUCUCCUGGCCCAAUACUGACACUGAGGUACGAAAGCUAGGGUAGCAAACAGGAUUAGAUACCCCUGUAGUCC